rnacentral:rRNA from 1 species
AUCAAACGCGGGCGGCGUGCUUAACACAUGCAAGUCGAACGAGAAAGUGGGAGCAAUCCUGCGAGUAAAGUGGCAGACGGGUGAGUAACACGUGAACAACCUACCCUUGAGUGGGGAAUAACACCGCGAAAGCGGUGCUAAAACCGCAUAACAUCCUUUGUUCGCAUGAAUGGGGGAUCAAAAGAGCAAUUUGCUUGAGGAGGGGUUCGCGGCUGAUUAGCUAGUUGGUGAGGUAACGGCCCACCAAGGCAACGAUCAGUAGCCGGCCUGAGAGGGCGAACGGCCACACUGGAACUGAGACACGGUCCAGACUCCUACGGGAGGCAGCAGUGGGGAAUUUUGCGCAAUGGGCGAAAGCCUGACGCAGCAACGCCGCGUGGAGGAUGAAGGCCUUCGGGUCGUAAACUCCUGUCGAUGGGGACGAAAGCCUAGCAAUAGGAUUGACUGUACCCGUUGAGGAAGCCACGGCUAACUCCGUGCCAGCAGCCGCGGUAAUACGGGGGUGGCAAGCGUUGUUCGGAAUUACUGGGCGUAAAGGGCGCGUAGGCGGCAUAACAAGUCAGAUGUGAAAGCCCCGGGCUCAACUCGGGAAUUGCAUCUGAAACUGUCUUGCUUGAGUUCUGGAGGGGGUAGUGGAAUUCCCAGUGUAGCGGUGAAAUGCGUAGAUAUUGGGAGGAACACCUGCGGCGAAGGCGGCUACCUGGACAGUAACUGACGCUGAGGCGCGAAAGCUAGGGGAGCGAACAGGAUUAGAUACCCUGGUAGUCCUAGCUGUAAACGAUGGGCACUUGGUGUUGGGGGUAUUGAGUCCCCCGGUGCCGGAGUUAACACGUUAAGUGCCUCGCCUGGGGAGUACGGUCGCAAGACUG